UUUAAAUAUAGAUUAAGUUUAACACGAAACUGUUAUUUAGUUUGUAUGUUUAUAUGAUAACCAGAAAACAUUAGAAUAGGAAGACGACAUCAUAGCAAUUUUAAGUGUCUGUGAUGUUGAUAGAAAGCAAAUAUUGUACUAGACACUUAUGAAAUCUCCAAUUUAGUAAUAUCGGGUUGUUUACAAUCAAGGGAUGUAAUCCGUCGUCUUUGCAAUAUGGACAGAGAUCAGGGACAGAAGGGAAUCGGUGUUAUAGGUAUAGAUCAUGUAGUGACAUACAGUACAUCGGAUAAUCGAGAGUUGCGGCAUCAGUGUACACUGUACACAGAUCUGGGGUAUGUAAACAGUAGACAGUUUUUCUAUACCAUAGCAUGAAAGAUUUGUUGUAUAAAACUGCAAAUUAAGAAGUUAUACGAUCAUCAGUAAACUUGAAAAAUUAUCCUACGGGCACAACAAUACUUCUCCGAAAUAUAAGAGCUUAUACUAAGGUUUCAUGAUGCCGGGUCUGUCAGGAGAUUUAUGUACUGCAUGAAGUUCACAAGUGAAGGAAAUCAGGAAAAUCAUGAAGUUGUAUUUUAAGAAAUCUUUGAGAAAAGAAAAAGAUAGAGUUGUGGAGUAUUUUACAAUAAUUAGAAACCUAAUUAAAAUAUUGUUCUUUUUUUCAUUAAUAAAUGGUUAAGCCCA